GUGACUUGACGGCGGACUGGAAGUCGUUUAUUCUGCCGUCUGCUGCAGCAAGUUAGCUAAAUUAACCUUAAAACUCAUUCGUACUUGCGUUUUUGAGUAUUACGUAACGUAGUGUGUUGAGUUGAAGCUUUGCUUCUGUUCAGAGUUAUUGAUUCACCUGCUCUUCAGCUGGGAACUCGACAAACUUUGAAAUACCCUCUGCAGCAGCUUUAAGAGUACAAAGCAUGGAAAAAGCCUCCAGUUAAAUGAGCACAAGUAGAUAGACUCCUCUGAUGUUCUAACCUUGGAUAAAUCUGUAAGAAGAGCCCAGCAGAGGACAAAGGCACGGCUUAUCAUCUUCAUCGUUGUUCAGAACCGAUUAGCGCUGAGGUCUGAAGCAGAAGAGGGAGAGAGGCUGGAGAAGGAUGGAGUGAUCGGAAACGCAGCAGAGUGCAGAAGCUGUGGGGCUCCAUGCGGCCAUGACCACGGGAGUCUGGAAAGCACCUUGGAGUGCUGUACAGCCGAUCUGGUUCCAAUUCUCUGACUCUUCAUAUCAAGUGCUUUAAAAGAGGUCUAAACACUAAGGUCAUUUUCUGUGGAUACAAGAGGCAUGCAGCAGUGAUAAAAGCCACCAUAUGUACCUAGCCACUCACUUCAGGAGGUAAACCAAGUGGCGUCAACGCGCCGCCGUAAAAUCAAGUUAAACUGUGAAGCGGUGAGAAAAAUAAAAACAUCGAUGCCGACUGUGAGGCUCGGGGAUCAGAGAGUCCACCGAGUCCUCUGCUGGCUGUCAGCAGAGCAGCCUUCGCUCCAUCAUCUCCGUGGGAAACGGCGGCGCAUCACGCGAGAUCCGCCACACAUAGGUUAGACGAGCAGAGCCGGGGAGGAACAAAGAUGCUGCCUGCUGUUCUUGGGUCGGAACAAACUGAACUUGAUGUGAUCAUUUCAGCAGCGGGAGCUCUGGAGCGUGCAGAUUUGAUUCUUCUGCCAAAUUGUUCACAGGCUGCAGGAGGAUUUCAGGAUAGCAAAGUGUACUGGUCGGGAUUAUCCUGACUUAAAUUGCGAUGUAAAACUGAGACAAACUCUUUGCUUUUCUAUUUCAUAAAGCUGCCAAAGUGGGGUCAUUUUACUAGAAAUGUAAACUGCUUAAGGGAAACUCCCUCAUAGCAAGAAGGUCCAGAGUUUAAAUCUUUCUGUUAAACUAUUUAACCUUAAAAACAAGCCAUAGUUCUUACCAACGACGCUGCAGCAGCAACGAAAGCUACUGAUCCGAAGCUUCUCUAGUUUUAACGCGAGUGUUGUGGUUUUCAACCAGGUUGUAAGAUGUUAUGUGGGAAAAGAUUAGAGCGUGAAGUGAUUGAAGUCUUUAGCCGGCCCCCUGCUGUCUGCAUGCAAACGCUGAGAAUGUUGUGUGCGUACAGCAUCAUGACUGCAGACGCCGCAUUGCUCUGGGACGUGUGUACGAUACAGCGUCAUUAGCAUGAAAGUUCAUGUGGACAUCAGAAUAAAUAUGUUCUCAGGUUAUGAGGUAGAAAAUGAAUAACACUGGUCCAAGUACAGAGCCUUAUUUAACUCAAUGUUUCAAUGCUUUUUAAGCUAAGGAGUAAUAUCUCCGUCUAAGUAGAUUUCUAGAGCAGUUCAAGGUCUGAAUGUGUUUGUAUUUAGUGCCAAUUUAGAUGUUGUUUAAAAUAAUAUUAA